AUGGGUAUCACCGAACCUUUCCGAUCAAUUUCCGGCCAAAUAGUUCGUACCCACCUUGAUUUGAAUACAUAUUAAUGAUCCUCUCAUCGAAACAAAUAAAAUGAUAGAUUGUUUGUUAAUUUUGGUGAUGAUUUGAAUUUCCGACCACCGUGCAUGGCGGUCGGCGGCGGCGGUCCGGUGACCGGACGGCGGCACUCCGGCGAGGCCCCGAGAGACAGAAUCCUCUUCUCUUCGCGCUGAUCAUGGAAUUGUCGCCCGAUUCCCAAUGGGAAGUAAGUUUCUCUCUAAUUCGAUUUAGGAUACGUUUCUUCGACGCAGGGCACUAAAGGAAUUUUCCUUAGUUCCAUAAUUAUUUCACUAUGUAACUGUAUGUAUAAAAGGCUAUGUAUAUCAAUCAGUUAGUGACUCCGCAGUUGUAGAAUUUUUU